GCCGAGAUAGCUCAGCCGGCAGAGCACAUCCAUGGUAAGGAUGGGGUCCGGGGUUCGAUUCCCCGUCUCGGCU
rnacentral:tRNA from 1 species